UUUAAUCUCCCAUGGGCUCUGGGUUUCAACUGUUCAUAAGUUAACCCCCCUAUAUGGAAGCCUUGCACUGAGUCCGCAAUUUGUGGGCAACACCAGCCUGUUGCUAAGAACCCUUUUAUGGUUAUUAGCAGUCGUGUCAGCACGAUUCACAGAUCAAGUACUGGUGGUUCGCUUUUAAUAACUACUUUCAGAGUCGUUCGAUUAGAAUCUAGUUGUUAUAUUGUGAAUUAUAACAUGACCGGUUCUUUUAUUUGUUUAAGAGAAGUAUACGUUCCGUAGGUGAACCUGCGGAAGGAUCAUUAAAGAGUUAGGGUCUCCGGGCCCAACCUCCAACCCUUUGUUUAAUUACCAUGUUGCUUUGGCGGGCCCGUCUUACGACCGCCGGGAGUUUGGAACCACUGAACUUGUCGGCCCGUGCCCGUCAGUAGCCCAUUUACAAAUUCUUGACAAAUUGUGAUGUCUGAGUUAUAAACUUAAUAGUUAAAACUUUCAACAACGGAUCUCUUGGUUCUG
rnacentral:misc_RNA from 1 species